rnacentral:rRNA from 1 species
ACACUCCUACGGGAGGCAGCAGUGGGGAAUUUUGGACAAUGGGCGAAAGCCUGAUCCAGCAAUGCCGCGUGAGUGAAGAAGGCCUUCGGGUUGUAAAGCUCUUUUGUCAGGGAAGAAACGGUGAGAGCUAAUAUCUCUUGCUAAUGACGGUACCUGAAGAAUAAGCACCGGCUAACUACGUGCCAGCAGCCGCGGUAAUACGUAGGGUGCAAGCGUUAAUCGGAAUUACUGGGCGUAAAGCGUGCGCAGGCGGUUUUGUAAGUCUGAUGUGAAAUCCCCGGGCUCAACCUGGGAAUUGCAUUGGAGACUGCAAGGCUAGAAUCUGGCAGAGUGGGGUAGAAUUCCACGUGUAGCAGUGAAAUGCGUAGAUAUGUGGAGGAACACCGAUGGCGAAGGCAGCCCCCUGGGUCAAGAUUGACGCUCAUGCACGAAAGCGUGGGGAGCAAACAGGAUUAGAAACCCGUGUAGUCCCAUGAU